rnacentral:rRNA from 1 species
AGAGUUUGAUCCUGGCUCAGAACGAACGCUGGCGGCGGGCUUAACACAUGCAAGUCGAGCGCACCCUUCGGGGUGAGCGGCGGACGGGUGAGUAACGCGUGGGAACGUGCCCUUUGCUACGGAAUAGCCCCGGGAAACUGGGAUUAAUACCGUAUACGCCCUUUGGGGGAAAGAUUUAUCGGCGAAGGAUCGGCCCGCGUUAGAUUAGAUAGUUGGUGGGGUAAUGGCCUACCAAGUCUACGAUCUAUAGCUGGUUUGAGAGGAUGAUCAGCCACACUGGGACUGAGACACGGCCCAGACUCCUACGGGAGGCAGCAGUGGGGAAUCUUGGACAAUGGGGGAAACCCUGAUCCAGCCAUGCCGCGUGUGUGAUGAAGGCCCUAGGGUCGUAAAGCACUUUCGCCUGGGAAGAUAAUGACGGUACCAGGUAAAGAAACCCCGGCUAACUCCGUGCCAGCAGCCGCGGUAAUACGGAGGGGGUUAGCGUUGUUCGGAAUUACUGGGCGUAAAGCGCACGUAGGCGGAUUUGUCAGUCAGAGGUGAGAUCCCAGGGCUCAACCCUGGAACUGCCUUUGAUACUGCAAGUCUGGAGGUCGAGAGAGGUGAGUGGAAUUCCGAGUGUAGAGGUGAAAUUCGUAGAUAUUCGGAGGAACACCAGUGGCGAAGGCGGCUCACUGGCUCGAUACUGACGCUGAGGUGCGAAAGUGUGGGGAGCAAACAGGAUUAGAUACCCUGGUAGUCCACACCGUAAACGAUGAAUGCCAGUCGUCGGGCAGCAUGCCGUUCGGUGACGCAGUUAACGCUUUAAGCAUUCCGCCUGGGGAGUACGGUCGCAAGAUUAAACUCAAAGGAAUUGACGGGGGCCCGCAC